GACGAACGCUGGCGGCGUGCUUAACACAUGCAAGUCGAACGAAGAGCGAUGGAAGCUUGCUUCUAUCAAUCUUAGUGGGGAACGGGUGAGUAACGCGUAAUCAACCUGCCUUCAGAGGGGGACAACAGUUGGAAACGACAGCUAAUACCGCAUACGAUCUAAUCUCGGCAUCGAGGAUAGAUGAAAGGUGGCCUCUACAUGUAAGCUAUCACUGAAGGAGGGGAUUGCGUCUGAUUAGCUAGUUGGAGGGGUAACGGCCCACCAAGGCGAUGAUCAGUAGCCGGUCUGAGAGGAUGAACGGCCACAUUGGGACUGAGACACGGCCCAGACUUCUACGGGAGGCAGCAGUGGGGAAUCUUCCGCAAUGGACGAAAGUCUGACGGAGCAACGCCGCGUGAGUGAUGACCGGCUUCGGGUUGUAAAGCUCUGUUAAUCGGGACGAAAGGCCUUCUUGCGAAUAGUGAGAAGGAUUGACGUACCGGAAU
rnacentral:rRNA from 1 species